UACAGAGGGUGCGAGCGUUAAUCGGAAUUACUGGGCGUAAAGCGUGCGUAGACGGUUAUUUAAGUCGGGUGUGAAAGCCCCGGGCUCAACCUGGGAAUUGCAUUCGAGACUGAAUAGCUAGGGUACGGUAGAGGGAAGUGGAAUUUCCGGUGUAGCGGUGAAAUGCGUAGAUAUUGGGAGGAACACCAGUGGCGAAGGCGGCUCACUGGACCGGAACUGACGCUGAGGCGCGAAAGCGUGGGGAGCAAACAGG
rnacentral:rRNA from 1 species